CUUGUUCCGGGAAGGAUUUAAGCUUUCUGAAGAUGAGAAGUCCAAGAGCAUCGUAGUGGCAUCUGACAAGCGUCAUUCCAUGGCAGAAGACAAGACAGCAGGCAAGCCUCCUAGACAGAGAGAAAAAGGGGACUGAACUCAGCCUCUCAGGAAACCACUCUCACAAUAACUAACCCACUCCGGAGAUAACAGCAUUAAUCCACUCGGAGGACUGAGCUCUCAUGGCCUAAUCACCUCUUAAAGACCUCACAUCCCAAUGCCAUUACAUUGACAGUUAAGUUUCAACACGAGUUUCUGAGGGAACAUUCAAACCAUAGCAACCCUUGUGCCAUUUAUUCAGCAGAGACAACAGUUGCAGGCUUCAGUUCUUUCCACCAAGAGGACCAAACAAAUCUUCAGCCUUCUUGGUUCUGCUUUUAUAAUGUUUU
rnacentral:lncRNA from 1 species